CCUACGGGAGGCAGCAGUGGGGAAUAUUGGACAAUGGGCGAAAGCCUAAUCCAGCAAUGCCGCGUGUGUGAAGAAGGCCUGCGGGUUGUAAAGCACUUUCAGUUGGGAAGAUGAUGACGUUACCAACAGAAGAAGCACCGGCUAAAUCCGUGCCAGCAGCCGCGGUAAUACGGAUGGUGCGAGCGUUAAUCGGAAUUACUGGGCGUAAAGCGCGCGUAGGCGGCUAAAUCAGUCAGAAGUGAAAGCCCCGGGCUCAACCUGGGAAUUGCUUUUGAUACUGCUUGGCUAGAGUUUGGUAGAGGAUAGUGGAAUUCCAGGUGUAGCGGUGAAAUGCGUAGAUAUCUGGAGGAACAUCAGUGGCGAAGGCGACUGUCUGGACCAAAACUGACGCUGAGGUGCGAAAGCGUGGGUAGCAAACAGGAUUAGAUACCCUGGUAG
rnacentral:rRNA from 1 species